rnacentral:rRNA from 1 species
UACGUAGGUGGCAAGCGUUGUCCGGAUUUAUUGGGCUUAAAGGGUGCGUAGGCGGUCUUCUAAGUCAGUUGUGAAAUACUUCAGCUUAACUGGAGAGGUGCAAUUGAUACUGGAAGACUUGAGUACUGAUGAGGUAGGCGGAAUGGACGGUGUAGCGGUGAAAUGCGUAGAUAUCGGGAGGAACACCUGUGGCGAAAGCGGCGCACUGGACCACAACUGACGCUGAGGCGCGAAAGCUAGGGGAGCAAACAGG